CACAGGACGCUGAGCCAAGAGCAGAGGCAGAGGGAGAGAUGAGCAGAGUCAAAGAGCUGCUGUAGGUGGUCAGCUCUGCAGAGAGUCUAGAUGGUCCAGUUUCAGCUUCAGGUGUCAGCUUAGAGUGGCUGUGCUUGGUGUUCAUGGGCAGGAGCAACCUCUCUGCUGAAGCCUGAUGAGACAGGAAUCUGGAGAUUCUUCACUAUGUCAGUCUCCCUGGGCACACCUUGAGAUGAAACACCAGGGAGUCCAGCCACCGCCUGGUGAGAUUCUUUUUCCAAACAUGGGCAAGCUGAGGGCACUGGAAGGACACAACUUCUCCACCAUCCUCCUCCCUGAACCAGAACCCUGCAGGAGAGUCUGAACCCCUCUCCUUGCAUUGGGGUGUCCAAGGACUCCAUCAACUCCAAACAUCAAGCAAAGAGGAUAUACUGUGACCCUUCAGUCAGUCCCUCCUUCAACUCAAAGGGUAUUUAUCAAGCACUGCUCUUUGGAACUUAAAGAGGAGGCACUACUUCUGCAUCCAGAGAAAUACCUUCCGAUGUCCAAAAGGGUUUCUGGUUUGGAACCCACAUCAAUGUUUCUGAUGCCUAAAGAGACAGCCCAUGUGGAAUUAAGGAAAUAGCUGCUUUGAAUUGAUUCUAAGAAUCAUCCUUGGAACUGGGGUGCACACCAACGUGAAAUAAUGAAGGGCCACAGUACUUAGCCAACUUUAGGAGGGCAUCGCCUUUAGAUGACACACUGCAUACCACCCUGCAUGGCUCUAGGCACCUGCAACCUACCACAUUCAGGUCCAAGUAAAUGGCUUUUCUUAAAGUUGGGAAAUAUUCCGGUGUUAGAUCUCCGAACUGCAAAUUUUUGUUCUACAGUUGGAUGGCUUCUAUCCAGACACAGAAGUUUUCCUGGUACUAAGACCUGCAAGAGGCUUCACAUGCAGUUUCCAUACAGCAAAUCCCAUAAAGCCAGCAUCAGCAGAGGGCGUGCACAAGUGCUACACAGCUUUUUAUUUCCACAAGAUGCAGAAUGUGAAGAUCAGUAACUGGAGCGGGAGUUUCCUUAGAACUUGCUCAAGGUCAGCAAGUUACCAUGUCUCAUCCGAACCUUCAUAGGAGGACAGCACAGCCUGUGAGUUCAGGAUGAAUGUCCCUCCAGUGAAUUGAGCUGCCUUCCUCCAGCACAAGCCUGCUGGUUAGAUUUUUACCCUCAGGAGCCACAGAUGAUGUGUGCAUGUGACUUCCCCACAUGGCUACAAUUUGCCUCAGAUGGCUGUAUGUCCCCACCCUAUGGAGAAGGGUCAUUGCUCUAUGACUCUAAAAAGCCAGCCAUCUAGUGAUGUUGCCAAGCAUCAAUUUCAGUGGGGAAACAAUGAAACCAUAUUUCUGUCAUGGAAGUAGAAGCUUGAUUUGUUGAUAUGUAGCUCUUCUCAAAUUUACUGUACUAUUCAACAUCAUCAGUCAUAUUGGGGGGGGCAAUGCAUUAAAAGUGAAAAAUCAUUGUUCUAAAAUGCAUGAAAAUAUGGAAUAGGAAAUUUCAUCACAUCUGUAUAACCAGCAGGAUGAGGAUUCCCAAGGCAGCAAAAUCUACAGGAAAAACAGUGGUUUCCAAAUUUUCUUUGCAUUUAUCAUGGUGAAAAAAGAAAACCUAGUUUAAUGUCCUUUCACAAAUCAAAUUCUGAUUUGCUUCCUUUACUGUCCAAAGACCAUAACUAACAAAACACAUAAGAGCAUUUGAACCCCCAUCCAAUUUGUUAAAUAUUUUGGAAAGCCAAGGACUAAGUAAAGUAGCAGAUAUGUGGCCAGAGGAAUUUCAUUUUCAGAAUUCGUAUCCCACAAAUACGUAAAUCAUGUAGUAAAUAGUAAUCAUGAUAGUAAAUCAUGGAGUGUUGCCUUAGUUUGAAACAAAGGGGCUCUUUCUUGCUCUCUGCACAUUUUUGAAGCUUUACACAGGGAUUUAAGGGUCAUAGGAGCUGGGCACAAGCAGUCAGAGGACAGGUUGGGUAUGACUGGGAGGAUGGAGUGAAUCAAAGCUCACUGAGAAGGAGUGGAUCAUGGAGUAUGCUGAGGAGGAACAGCAACUGACCAGUCAGAGGCAGUAGCUGGAGUAGCUGGUUAUUUCCAAGGACCCAUAAGGCCAGGGCUGAGCACAUCUGUAUCCUUGGAAUCCAGCUGGAAGAGGUGGCACAGCCUGCAGGAACUGGGGACAGGGUGUGUUGAUGGUGGACCAAAGCGAAGGGCACCUGGUAGGCCCGUGCUCAGGCCACACACACACACACACACACACACACACACACACACACACACGCAGAGGGCAGGGUAGAUCCGAGGAGCGUGCAGCAGGAGUGCAGGGGCUGCCUGGGCUCCAGGCCCUCUCUGCUUCCUGGGCAUCUGCUUGAGCCUCCCUAGUGCACAGCCAGCCGGAAGUCAAAGUCAAGAAGGAUUUCCACCAAGUCCAGGGUGCAAAGCCAGUGCGGCAAUGGGUGGGGUCAGGAGGCAGCGUGGCAGCCAGGCAUGCCCUCUUGGUGAAGGCGGCCCACUGGCUGCCUUCUGGGCAUAGCAGAGCCAGCCCUGGAGGCCUGUGG